rnacentral:rRNA from 1 species
UACGUAGGGUGCAAGCGUUGUCCGGAAUUAUUGGGCGUAAAGAGCUCGUAGGCGGUUUGUCGCGUCGGCUGUGAAAACUCGGGGCUCAACCCCGAGCCUGCAGUCGAUACGGGCAAACUAGAGUGUGGUAGGGGAGACUGGAAUUCCUGGUGUAGCGGUGAAAUGCGCAGAUAUCAGGAGGAACACCGAUGGCGAAGGCAGUUCUCUGGGCCGUAACUGACGCUGAGGAGCGAAAGCGUGGGGAGCGAACAGG